rnacentral:rRNA from 1 species
UGGGUCCCUGGGGCCCAGAUCGUUUACCGUGAAAAAAUUAGAGUGUUCAAAGCAGGCAGAUCCAAUUUUCUGCCACCGAAUACAUUAGCAUGGGAUAAUGGAAUAGGACCCUGUCCUCCUAUUUUCAGUUGGUUUUGGCAGCGCGAGGACUAGGGUAAUGAUUAAUAGGGAUAGUUGGGGGCAUUAAUAUUUAAUUGUCAGAGGUGAAAUUCUUGGAUUUAUGAAAGAUUAACUUCUGCGAAAGCAUCUGCCAAGGAUGUUUUCAUUAAUCAAGAACGAAAGUUAGGGGAUCGAAGACGAUCAGAUACCGUCGUAGUCUUAACCAUAAACGAUGCCGACCAGCGAUUAGGAGACGUUGAAUACAAAACACCACCAUCGGCGCGGUCGUCCUUGGCGUCGGUCCUUCACGGGGCCGGCGCGAGGGCGGCUUAGCCCGGUGGCACCGGUGAAUGACUCCCCUAGCAGCUUGUGAGAA